GACGAACGCUGGCGGCGUGCCUAAUACAUGCAAGUAGAACGCUGAAGGAGGAGCUUGCUUCUCUGGAUGAGUUGCGAACGGGUGAGUAACGCGUAGGUAACCUGCCUGGUAGCGGGGGAUAACUAUUGGAAACGAUAGCUAAUACCGCAUAAGAGUAGAUGUUGCAUGACAUUUGCUUAAAAGGUGCAAUUGCAUCACUACCAGAUGGACCUGCGUUGUAUUAGCUAGUUGGUGAGGUAACGGCUCACCAAGGCAACGAUACAUAGCCGACCUGAGAGGGUGAUCGGCCACACUGGGACUGAGACACGGCCCAGACUCCUACGGGAGGCAGCAGUAGGGAAUCUUCGGCAAUGGACGGAAGUCUGACCGAGCAACGCCGCGUGAGUGAAGAAGGUUUUCGGAUCGUAAAGCUCUGUGUAAGAGAAGAACGAGUGUGAGAGUGGAAAAGUUCA
rnacentral:rRNA from 1 species